UCAAGCUGAGGCAAGCUGCUGCAGGAGCCUGAUGGAUCAGGGGGACCCUGACUACCUGAACUUGGACAGUGCCCCAAAGCCCUUCUUCCCUUGCAGGGAAAAACACAGAGCACCAGGAUACUGAAGGAGCAGACCCACCUACUGUAGGCAAAGAGAAACAAUCCAGUGAACUGAUGGAAGAACUUCUGGAUAAAAUUAAUCAGCAGACAGAGUUCCAGAAUGACCAAAUAUUCUACCAGCUGGUCUUCAGCAUGGGAUGAAGUAAGGAAGAACUAUUCCAAAACUCUCAACAUACUGCAAUGUUCCAACUAGAAUGGAUUUUUCAUCAGAGACUUCUGUAAUUUUCUGGAAACAGCUUUCUAGAAGCGAACACCACCAUCCUUCUUGAAUAAAAAAAGUCAGCAAGGGGCAUCAUGCCAUAGAACCGGGUGAUAAUGGACCCUUUCAGUACAGCUCUGAUGCAACACUUCAUUCAUUUCUGAGCACCUUGUUACCAUGCCAUGAAAGACGUCUGACAGGAAGCCCAAGAGAAAGCUACCAUCUGCUGGGGCUUCUGAUUUUCUCAACAGAGCCCCUGCCCUCUAUAGCCACGUAUCUGUGAGAAAUCAGGGUUGGACAAAGCCUCCCUUUGGCUUUCCACGGCAGCGUCAGGAAAUGAAACCAUUGAAGAUGAGACAGAGAGAGAGAGAGAAUCAGUAGUCUGGCUAAUACCUAGAAGCACAUGAUGCCUGGCACCAAAGGACAUGCUGAGGAGCGCACGUAUCAGCACAAAAACCCUGGGUAAUUUAAUAACUGGCCCAGAAUUUGCUGACUGCUUGUUAAUUACUUGAACAAUCCCAAACUGUCUGACCAAAAACCUACCCGAUGACUCCUCAGCUGUUAGUCCCAGAUGACUAAUAGCAACAGUACUUGUAAUAGUUCCAGGAAUGUAUUUGUACUGCCUUUGCUUUUCCACAACUCUAGCCAAGCUUCUACACACCAAGAACCCUGAAACAUAAAGCUAAAACCUCUCCCUUCUGAUACACUCAUAAACAACUUUGGCUGUUGACUUUAAAUGCAGCAUCCCCUGAAAUACUCCAGAAGAGGUACUCUUAACAGAAGGAGACUAUGAUAGAAGUGUUCUUAACCUAUUGAAGAAAUAUGGCUUCUCAGUUGUUAUUAUUAAAGCAGGUAAGGUGGAAAGGGAGAGGUACAAAACCACAACCUCUGUGAGGAAGAUCUUACAGGCAAUAUUCUGAAAAUCCAGCAAUGAGAGAAAUUAUAGGUUUCUCUUUUCGGCCCCACAUACCUAUGUCAGUAAUUGCUUAAUGAUAUGGAUCGAUUUCAGGAAUGCAGGCUAGAUAUUUUUUCUGAACUGAAUGACUAGAAGUGACAUAAUUACAUUUGUACCCUUUCUGAAAGUUGUUUCUCUUUAGAAACUUACACUUGCUCUUGGUAUGUAAGAGUCCUCAAUGAUUUUGCAAACAGAAUACAGAUAGACAAGGAGCCUUUUCAGAUGUUUUUAACCUGCAACAAUCUUACCGUUUGUGUUGUCAUUUAAGAUCCCUAACAAGUUACAUUAACUUUUUUGGCCCUCAAGUACCAUUCAAGCAUUGACAUUAGUCAUAUUCUGAGCUUUGUAUACAACAUACCCAUAUUCUUGAAAGAUUAUUUUAGCUCCAAAAACAGGUUUUUUAAAUUCUUUCUAUAAUGUUAUAUCUUUAACCUGUGCUGGGCCAGAGGAGAGAAAUUACUUGAUACCCUGUUCUUCCUGUUGGUAGGGAGAUAAAUAUCUCUUGUCUUCUUUCUGUCCCUGUUGUCCCUUGAAAGUGUCUGUAGAAGUAAGCAAAAAGCUUUGCUACAGAACUUCCUAUGCCCUGUGCACUCCUACACAUCUUUCAGAUUGGUAGGCCAACUUCAUUUGCUUCUGCUGGUUCUGUCUGUAGAAAGUGGUGCUGUUUUCUUCUCUAUCAUUGUUGACUGCACCUGGUUCCUUUGCACUGAAUAGCUGAUGGACGCCUUAGUGUAGCUUAGUCCAAGCAACCAGUGAACUCUGUGUUUACUCUGACAUGGAAACGAGUACUGAUGGAGCCUCAACAGAGAUAUUAAACUGUCAGCCAGGAUUAUAGAUAAAAUUAGAACUUUAUUCCUUUAUUUAAAUGUGUGUGUGCCAGCUUCUUUUCUCCAAAUUGCAAAGCUAAAAUCUGGACCCCUUCAGAUAGAAUAUUGGAAUGUGUGGGAUUUUAUUCACCAUAUGUAUUUGCUUACUCAUCUAUCUCAUACUUUCUCUCUGCAACUUGAUUCUUUGCCUUUUAAAAACUCUCAUUAUGUUCUGUGUGCUGAAAUGUGAAUGCUAAUCCAUUAUUUGUCUUCUGUUCAUACUAAU